CCUACGGGUGGCAGCAGUGAGGAAUAUUGGUCAAUGGGCGCGAGCCUGAACCAGCCAAGUCGCGUGAGGGAAGACGGUCCUAUGGAUUGUAAACCUCUUUUGUCGGGGAGCAAAAGACGCCACGCGUGGCGUUCCGAGAGUACCCGAAGAAAAAGCAUCGGCUAACUCCGUGCCAGCAGCCGCGGUAAUACGGAGGAUGCGAGCGUUAUCCGGAUUUAUUGGGUUUAAAGGGUGCGCAGGCGGAAUGUAAAGUCAGCGGUAAAAUUGAGAGGCUCAACCUCUUCGAGCCGUUGAAACUGGUUGUCUUGAGUGAGCGAGAGGUAUGCGGAAUGCGUGGUGUAGCGGUGAAAUGCAUAGAUAUCACGCAGAACUCCGAUUGCGAAGGCAGCAUACCGGCGCUCAACUGACGCUGAUGCACGAAAGUGUGGGUAUCGAACAGGAUUAGAUACCCUAGUAGUC
rnacentral:rRNA from 1 species